AGAGUUUGAUCCUGGCUCAGAUUGAACGCUGGCGACGUGCUUAACACAUGCAAGUCGUGCGAGAAAGGAGACUUCGGUCUCUGAGUAGAGCGGCGCACGGGUGAGUAACGCGUGGAUGAUCUACCCUUGAGUUCGGGAUAACGGUGCGAAAGCGCCGCUAAUACCGUAUAACAAUCCAUUUCAUCGUGGGUUCAAAGCAGGCCUCUUCAUGAAAGCUUGCGCUUGGGGAUGAGUCCGCGUCCCAUUAGCUUGUUGGCGGGGUAACGGCCCACCAAGGCUACGAUGGGUAGCUGGUCUGAGAGGAUGAUCAGCCACACUGGAACUGAAACACGGUCCAGACUCCUACGGGAGGCAGCAGUGGGGAAUAUUGCGCAAUGGGGGAAACCCUGACGCAGCGACGUCGUGUGAGGGAAGAAGGCCUUCGGGUCGUAAACCUCUGUCAGAAGGGAAGAACAUCCGGG
rnacentral:rRNA from 1 species